UACGAAGGGGGCUAGCGUUGCUCGGAAUCACUGGGCGUAAAGGGCGCGUAGGCGGCCGACUAAGUCGGGGGUGAAAGCCUGUGGCUCAACCACAGAAUUGCCUUCGAUACUGGUUGGCUUGAGACCGGAAGAGGACAGCGGAACUGCGAGUGUAGAGGUGAAAUUCGUAGAUAUUCGCAAGAACACCAGUGGCGAAGGCGGCUGUCUGGUCCGGUUCUGACGCUGAGGCGCGAAAGCGUGGGGAGCAAACAGG
rnacentral:rRNA from 1 species